UACCCGCACCCCGAGUGGUCGGGACGAUUAUUGGGCCUAAAGCAUCCGUAGCCAGUUCUACAAGUCUUCCGUUAAAUCCACCUGCUCAACAGUUGGGCUGCGGAGGAUACUAUAGAGCUAGGAGGCGGGAGAGGCAAGCGGUACUUAGUGGGUAGGGGUAAAAUCCGUUGAUCCAUUGAAGACCACCAGUGGCGAAGGCGGCUUGCCAGAACGCACUCGACGGUGAGGGAUGAAAGCUGGGGGAGCAAACCGG
rnacentral:rRNA from 1 species